rnacentral:rRNA from 1 species
UGGGGAAUAUUGGACAAUGGGCGAAAGCCUGAUCCAGCCAUGCCGCGUGAGUGAUGAAGGCCCUACGGUUGUAAAGCUCUUUCAACGGUGAAGAUAAUGACGGUAACCGUAGAAGAAGCCCCGGCUAACUUCGUGCCAGCAGCCGCGGUAAUACGAAGGGGGCUAGCGUUGUUCGGAAUUACUGGGCGUAAAGCGCACGUAGGCGGACAUUUAAGUCAGGGGUGAAAUCCCGGGGCUCAACCCCGGAACUGCCUUUGAUACUGGGUGUCUAGAGUCCGGAAGAGGUGAGUGGAAUUCCGAGUGUAGAGGUGAAAUUCGUAGAUAUUCGGAGGAACACCAGUGGCGAAGGCGGCUCACUGGUCCGGUACUGACGCUGAGGUGCGAAAGCGUGGGGAGCAAACA